GAUGAACGCUGGCGGCGUGCCUAAUACAUGCAAGUCGAGCGAACAGAUGAGGAGCUUGCUCCUCUGACGUUAGCGGCGGACGGGUGAGUAACACGUGGAUAACCUACCUAUAAGACUGGGAUAACUUCGGGAAACCGGAGCUAAUACCGGAUAAUAUAUUGAACCGCAUGGUUCAAUAGUGAAAGACGGUUUUGCUGUCACUUAUAGAUGGAUCCGCGCCGCAUUAGCUAGUUGGUAAGGUAACGGCUUACCAAGGCAACGAUGCGUAGCCGACCUGUGAGGGUGAUCGGCCACACUGGAACUGAGACACGGUCCAGACUCCUACGGGAGGCAGCAGUAGGGAAUCUUCCGCAAUGGGCGAAAGCCUGACGGAGCAACGCCGCGUGAGUGAUGAAGGUCUUCGGAUCGUAAAACUCUGUUAUUAGGGAAGAACAAAUGUGUAAGUAACUAUGCACGUCUUGACGGUACCUAAUCAGAAAGCCACGGCUAACUACGUG
rnacentral:rRNA from 1 species